rnacentral:rRNA from 1 species
AGCCGCGGUAAUACCGGCGGCUCGAGUGGUGGCCACUAUUACUGGGCUUAAAGCGUUCGUAGCUGGUCUGUUAAGUCUCUGGGGAAAUCUACUGGCUUAACCAAUAGGCGUCUCAGGGAUACUGGCAGACUAGGGACCGGGAGAGGUGAGAGGUACUCCAGGGGUAGGAGUGAAAUCCUGUAAUCCUUGGGGGACCACCUGUGGCGAAGGCGUCUCACCAGAACGGCUCCGACAGUGAGGGACGAAAGCUGGGGGAGCAAACCGGAUUAGAUACCCGGGUAGUCCCAGCCGUAAACGAUGCGCGUUAGGUGUAUCGAUGACCACGAGUCAUCGAGGUGCCGAAGAGAAAUCGUGAAACGUGCCGCCUGGGAAGUACGGUCGCAAGGCUGAAACUUAAAGGAAUUGGCGGGGGAGCACCACAACAGGUGGAGCCUGCGGUUUAAUCGGACUCAACGCCGGAAAUCUCACCGGAUAAGACAGCUGUAUGAUAGUCGGGCUGAAGACUCUACUUGACUAGCU